CGUCUUUAAGAGAGAAAUUUCCAAUACUAUGUUGCUUUUUAUAUUUAAUAAAUAUUCGUGAUUUGGGUCAGUUGUGUACUACUAGUAAUUUUAAUGAAUUUUUAAAAGCCUAUUAGAAAAUAGAAAUUAAUUUCCAUUGAUAUGAUAGGGUGAUGGGUAAGAUUUUGAAUCAUGAAAAACAGUACGUAUGGAGAUAUGAGUUCAAGGAGAGAAAGGAAUGAUGUAAACUUUCUAAUUCUUAAAGGAGAGCUUUCUUUUUAAAAAACUAGAUAUGGUGGGUUUCAAAUUGCCCUGGUAUUUAGAUUCCAUUGGUUAUGUUUUACUUGUGUCAAUAUUUAUAAUUGCUGGAAAUUACAUCCUUUCAACUGCUUAAACAUGUAAUGAAACGUUUCUGACGGCACCUUGAUGUGCAGUGGGAAUGAGGAAUGCGUAAUGGGCGAUGGGGAGAUGGUGAGAGAGCAUGUUUGCAGACCACUGGGCAGUAGCUCGUUUUAUAAGAGGACCCCAUGGGAGGCCGCCAGCUGUGGUCAAAAGAGCAGGGCUCCGUUCCAGUCUCCAUCUCUUGACAGUAUUUGAGACCUUGCACGAGAAACUCUCAGUCCAGCUCAACUGUAAAACUGGGCCACUACUACCUGACUCGGUUGUCGCAAGGCAUAAAGAGAAUAUAUGCAAAGCCUCUGGUACACCGUAAGCAAGAACGGGGAGCGGGAGCGGAAUGCUUGUCGAGUGUAAGCAGAGGAGUCCCGACCUAAGGUGACGGAGGUGACGCGGCCAGGUCUCCAAACGCCGCGGCCGGCCCCCACCCCUCUUCCGGGUGGACUGCGUGGACCUGUCCUCUCGCCGCUCUGGCCCCGCGCCCCGCCUGCCUUCCCUAGCGCGGCUCCGCCCCGGCCGCCAGCGGGCGCAGAAGCGUCUGGAACCCGGACCCACCCGGGAUACUACUCUGGCCCCGCGGAGCAGGCGGAGCAGGUAACUCCAUGCAUUGGAGACCAUGGAUAAAUAUGAUGUGAUUAAGGCCAUUGGGGAAGGUGCCUUUGGGAAAGCAUACCUGGCCAAAGGGAAAUCAGAUAGCAAGCACUGUGUUAUAAAAGAGAUCAAUUUUGAAAAGAUGCCCAUCCAAGAAAAAGAAGCUUCAAAGAAAGAAGUCAUUCUUCUGGCGAAGAUGAAACAUCCCAACAUUGUAACCUUCUUCAGUUCAUUUCAAGACUGGAGUAAGAAUGUACAGGUACUCUCUGUGCCCAGUCUUAUGAAAGCUUCCCCGUUAUUUUCCACUGCUUCCACUCAACAUUUAGAGAACAACAGGCUGUUUAUUGUGAUGGAGUACUGUGAUGGAGGGGAUCUCAUGAAAAGGAUCAAAAAACAACGGGGAGUGUUACUUAGUGAAGAUCAGAUUCUGAGUUGGUUUGUACAGAUUUCUCUAGGACUGAAACAUAUUCAUGACAGGAAGAUCUUACACAGGGACAUAAAAACACAGAACAUUUUCCUUAGCAAGAAUGGAAUGGUUGCAAAGCUUGGGGACUUUGGUAUUGCAAGAGUCCUGAACAAUACCAUGGAACUUGCUAGAACUUGUGUUGGAACGCCUUACUACUUGUCCCCAGAGAUCUGUCAGAAUAAACCCUACAACAAUAAAACGGAUAUUUGGUCUCUUGGCUGCGUCUUAUAUGAGCUCUGCACACUCAGACAUCCUUUUGAGGGUAACAACUUACACCAGCUGGUUCUGAAGAUUUGUCAAGCUCGUGUUCCCCCAAUAUCUCCAAGGUUUUCCCAUGACCUACAGUCCUUAAUAUCCCAGCUCUUUGAAGUAUCUCCCCGAGCUCGACCAUCCAUUAGUUCCAUUUUGAAAAGGCCCUUUUUAGAGAAUCUUAUGGCCAAAUACUUGACUCCCGAGGUCAUUCAGGAAGAAUUCAAUCACACCCUCAGACAUAAAGCAAGAUCGUCUGCUUCUCGACAUGCUGAGAAGGUGGUCCCAGAUUUUAAAAUGCAGAAAGUGAGAUUCCAGGGAAAGUGCCUGCCAAGAUCAAGGAGGAAGGACAUAUAUAGAAAUGAAUGGAGACCGCCAGCUGGAGUCCAGAAGCCCAUAUCUAUAAAAAUGGUAGAAAGGCCCAAACUUGCUGCAGUGUGUGGACAUUAUGAUCAUUAUUAUGAUCAACUUGACUUGUUGAGGAAGAGAGCCAAUGGACAAAAUUACCACUAUGUUCCUCAAAAAGAUACCAGAGUUGAGGAGAAUUAUAAUCAGGAAGGAAGCCACAGUCCAUCUUCAGGUCAAUGGCUUGCUGAGUACCUUCAGAGGAGAUGUGAAGCUCAACGACAUAAGCUGAAAGUGGAAAAGCAAUUGGGUAUUCGUCCAUCUUCUGCUGAGCCAAAUCACAACCAGAGACAAAAGCUAAGAAGUAAUGGGGAAGAGCCUGGAUUCCAGGAGCUGCAGUUCAGGAGAAAUGAAAGGAAGGAGCAGGAAUACUGGAAGCAGCUAGAAGAAAUACGCCAACAGUACCACAACGACAUGAAAGAAAUUAGAAAGAAGAUGGAGUGUGAACUGGAGGAAGACUCAAAAAUAAGUCAUAAAACAUAUUUGGUGAAGAAGAGUGACCUGCUCAUCCACCAAGAGGCACCUGAGGAAGAAGCACCUGUGCAGGAUAUUGAAAGAGACUUGAAACAAAUUGGACUUCAGAACACAAAGGAAAGUAAAAUUCCGGAACAAAAACAUAAAGCUAAGAGAGGGAUAAAGUUUGAAAUUAAUUUAGACAAAUGUAUUUCUGAUGGAGACACCCUCCAAGAGGAAGAGGCAAUGGAUAUACUGAAUGAAACUUUGACCUCUGAGGACGACGUUAAGUUUAAAGGGUAUAAAUGUAUAAAGGAGCAUGAAGAUUAUACAGACAAAGCAUUUGAAAAACUCUGUUGCCAGGAAGCAGAUGCUGCCGCUGCAGAGGACAGGAGACAGUGGGAUGCUGGGUCUCCUCAGACUCUGCUGCAAAUGAUGGCCACAGCCGACAUCACCUCCACCUGCUCCACUGUGCCUGAGGGUGAAGCUGAUAUCUAUCAGUGGCACGAAUUGUCAGCAAGAGGAGAGCGAGGCCCCAAAGGCAGCUGUGUUCACCCCAAAUGCUUGUGCUCACCCUGACUUGACAGUUCUCAGUUUUCAGUACAAUCCCGAUAGAUUUGUAUUAAAUGCCUUUCAAAGAUUUUGUUUUGGUUUCUCCCCUACCUCUGCAGAGACUUGCCUACUAAUUAUCCUAGACAAUUGGCCACUGUAGCUAUGAGAAUGUAAAGGAAGAAAGAUCCAGGUUCCCACCUUCCUCCCAAGGAGGGACAGGUGGCUUCAUUUGCCUUCCCGUGCUAGCCUAAUAACUCCCUUGCAGUUUCUUAGAGGGUCGUUUUUUCCUCAGUAACAUCAGAACUGAAACAUUAGCUGUCCCACAAGAUUUAGAGAGUCAGUGCAAAGAUACAUAUUAGCUUGCUUUGCAAACCAAAGUGCUAUUUCCAUGUUAGCAGUGUUUAGGAUAUGAUGAUAUUUUCAACCUAAAUUCUUCCAUUUUCAUUUGGGCUUCUGGCAUAGUCUUUCCUUAGCAGAGAGUCCCAGCAAUAUCUGGGUGUGAUCUUACAGGUGGUGGAGAUUUUUAUUGCUUAUUUCCUAUGUUCUUCUUGACAACAUGGGGCUGGGGGAGAGCUAAAAUUUAUACCCAUCUUAUAAGUUGAAGUCUGUAAGUAUAUCACUGAGAUUAGUAAUUAAAAGUGUGUGAAUUGACCCAUAUUUAUACUAUUACAAAAUAUAUUGCAUAUCAUCAAAUUUACAAGAAAGGGCUUGCAAACAUAAUACAAUUUAAUCCAUCCUAAGCCAAUGAGACAGUAAGAGGGGAAACCUAAUUUAAAAUAAAUAGAAUAGAAAUGUCAACACACCAAAACAGCCAGUUUACAGGGCAAAAAAUGACUCUCCUGCCCAACAGUACAUGAUAAUAUUGUCACUAAACUUUUCUGUAUCUCAGCUUCCUUGCUAAUAAAAUGAGGGGUGGGAUUAGGUGACCUCCAAGGAUCUCACAUUCUGUGAUUUUAUAAAAACUCAAAUGAAGAAGCAUUUUUAGUUUCAAUAAUCCAGGCUCCUUUUCAGACGGCCGAGUGAUCGUGAUUGAAGGCAUUCCAGAAAACAGGAAACAGUGGCGGCUUGAAACGCCGGGAACUUUAAUGAGUGUUUUGACAGCAGCACAUCUAACAAGCAGCUCAUUUUCUGCCAACGAUGGAGAAUUUGUGGGACCAUUAAAACAAUGGCUUCCUAAAGAAGAGGGGAAGGUAGAAGUGGCCUCUGACAUUGAAGUAGAUGAAGAACAACCAGGACCAAGAUCUGAUGAUGAUGAUACG